GAUGAAGAACGCAGCGAAAUGCGAUAAGUAAUGUGAAUUGCAGAAUUCAGUGAAUCAUCGAAUCUUUGAACGCACAUUGCGCCCGCCAGUAUUCUGGCGGGCAUGCCUGUUCGAGCGUCAUUUCAACAAUCAAGCCCCCGGCUUGUGUUGGGGACCUGCGGCUGCCGCAGGCCCUGAAAAGCAGUGGCGGGCUCGCUGUCACACCGAGCGUAGUAGCAUACAUCUCGCUCUGGGCGUGCUGCGGGUUCCGGCCGUUAAACCACCUUCAUAACCCAAGGUUGACCUCGGAUCAGGUAGGAAGACCCGCUGAACUUAAGCAUAUCAAUAAGCGGAGGA
rnacentral:misc_RNA from 1 species